UAAAAUAAAAUAAAAUAAGAAUAACACAAAACAAAAAUAUAUAUAUAUAUAUAUAUAUAUAUAUAUGAACUCAUGUAUGUGUAUAUAAAUAUAUGUAUGUGUUAUUUUUAUUUUAUUUUAUUUUUUUUUUUAUUCAUUAAACGGUUACUAAAGUAGUUGCAUAUUUUUUUAUAUGCGUAGACAUACGCACAUUCGUGAACAGUCACAUGAGUGUGUAUACGUAUUUAUAUAUGUAUAUACAUAAGUUAUAAAUACGUGUGUACGUAAUCGAUAACAUGAGUGCAUAUACAAGCAAAUAAUAUGUAAUUGUAUUUUACAUUAGUGCACAAAAUGGUUUGAAUAUAUUGUAGAUAUAUGUACAUGUAAAUAUACAUAUUUGUUUAUAUAUAUUUUAUUUUUAUAAUUACUGUUUAAACAUAUUUAUAAUUUGAAUAACAUACACAUAAAUGUACCUACAUGAGUGUUAAUAAAAUGGAAUCAGGUGAAAUAAAAAUUGAAGAAACAACCACUAAUCAUAUAAAUUAUAGAGAAUGUGGUUUAGCUUUGGAUUGCAAUUCUGGUAGUGUACCUCUUACUUCUACAAAUACUUCUAUAAAUACUUCUACAAAUACUUCUACAAAUACUUCUACAAAUACUUCUAAAAAUAAUAACAAUCGUGACAGUAACAACCAUGAAAGUAACAACCAUAAAAGUAACAACCAUGACAGUAACAAUAAUCAAACUAUAAUUACUACUACAGCUACAGCUACUGCUACUACUACCACUACUACUACAACCACUACUACCACAACCACUACUACUACUACAACUUUUAGUGGAGGUGGUACCAUAACAAAUAGUAGAAAAAAAAAAAAAACACAAUCUAGUAAUUUUAUAAAUUUAAGAGAUUGGACAUUUAAAGUACAAAAAAGAUAUGCAAAAAAACUUAAAAAAAAAGAAACAAGUAAUUUAAACAAACAUAAAAAUUUAAUAAAAAAAGAAAACCGAUCUUUAUCAUCAGCUACUUCAUCUUUUAGAUCAAGAUCGAGUUUAGGAAGAAAACUUAAAUUAUCUUCUGAUGAAUCAGAUUUCGACUUAGAUAUUGAACAACGAAUAAGAAAAUUUUUAAAAAUUGAUAAAGAUAGUGAUAGUAAAAGAAAUACAAAAAAUACAAAAAAUAAAAAAAAUACAAAAAAUGAAAAAAAUGCAAAAAAUACAAAAAAUGCAAAAAAUAAUAAUUAUGAAAAUUUUGAUGAUAAUAAAGACAACAGUAUCAGAUAUAGUAUUAGUAUUGUCAGUAGUAACAGCAAUAACAGCAUUAAUAGCAACAGUAGUAGUAGUAGAUUUAGUAAACGUAGCAGAAGUAGUAAUCGUAUUGCUGUUAAUGAAGAAGACGAAUGUAACGAUGAUAAUCACAGGGAAAGAGGAAAAAAGAGAAAAAAUUAUUCACAAAAUAAAAAUAUAGAAACUAAAGAAUUUUUUGAAAACAUUAUAUCGUAUACAACUAAUAUUAAUGGAGAUGUCAAACAAUAUGGGGAAUAUAAUAAAAUAAUAUAUGAUAAAAAAUGUGAUAAAAAUUAUGAUAAACAUUAUGAUAAAAGUGGAAGUAAAGAUAAUUUCAUAAGUGACAAACGGAAUGAUAAAAAAAGUGAUACAAGCAAUGAGAAAAAUGAUAACAACAAUGACUACAAUAGUGACAAUAAUAAUAAAACAAAAACACCACAAAAUGAUAAAUAUAUAUAUACAAAAACAAAAGAAAAAAAUAGUAAUUAUAACAAUAACGACACUACUGAUAGUAAUAAUAACAAUAAACAAUAUACAUCAAAUGAAAAAAUACAUGAAUUUAAAAGCAAUAAUAAAAAAUAUAACCAAAAAAUAAAUGAAAUAAAUACAAAUAAAAUAAAAAAAGAUAUAACUAUUGAUGAAUAUACAAAAAAUAUAAGUAAGAAGGAUACAAACAAAUAUGAGCAAAAUUAUAAUACCCCUUCUAUUGCGAGUGUUUCUACAUCUACUGUCACAUCAAGUACAGCUAAUACUACUACUGCUGUUGUUGAUCCAACAAAUAAUAACAGCAUUACUAGUAGUAACAAUAAUAAUAAAAAUUCUGAAAAAUAUGAAAAUGAUAAAAAUGAUCAUUUUAUAUGUAACGACGAUAGUAGACGUCAACAUAUUACUACAAGUUAUAAAAAUAAUGAACAGUUACAAAAAAAACAAUCCAAUGUAAAAAAAAAUAAUAAUGAUAAUAUACAGAAUAAUGAUAAUAUACAGGAUAAUCAUAAUAUACAGAAUAAUCAUAAUAUACAGAAUAAUCAUAAUACACAGAAUAAUCAUAAUAUACAGAAUAAUCAUAAUACAAUUAAUGGAGAAGUAAAAAAGGAACAGGACAUUGUACAGAUAUAUGAAUCUAAGCGUAACACAAGAAGUGGCUGGUCCAAUAAUACGGGAUCUAAUAUGUAUAACGAAAAAGCUCGAACAAGUGACAUGACAAAAGAAACAAACAAUUAUAAAAAGCUAAAUGAACAGUCAAGCAAAUAUGAUCAUAACAAAAUAAAAAAAGAUCGAGAAAAAGAAGAACGUCCAAAAGAAGAACGUUCAAAAGAAUUGGAAAAAAAUUAUAAAAAUAAUUAUAAUAAAAUAAGUAUAAAUGAUAAAACUAAUGAUAUAAAAAUAAAAAAUGAGAAAAUAUUAAAACCAAUUAAUUCAAAUGAUACGAACAUAUCUAAAAUGGAUAAAGAAAAAAAUAAUAAAAACAUUUAUGAUAAAAACAGAGAUAAACGUUUUAUUAUUGAAUCUCGUACUAAUAAAAAUAAUGUGGAAUAUUUUAACAAUAAUUACAAUAUUAACAGUAACGAUAAUAAUGUGAGUAAAAGUAAUAAAACUAGUAAUAAUAAAAUUACAUCACUGCAAAAUACGGAAGCAUAUGAAAGUGAUGGAAAAAUAAAAAAAAAAAAGAAAACGAAAAGGGAAGUGAGAACGAAAAAAAUGGAGAAAUCGAAAAGGAGAAUGGAAAAGAGAAUGGAAAAGAG
ensembl:lncRNA